AAAGGAAGCGAUUCCGGCUACGGAUGGUCAUGCGUCGCAUUAGCUUGUUGGCGGGGUAACGGCCCACCAAGGCGACGAUGCGUAGGGGUUCUGAGAGGAAGGUCCCCCACACUGGUACUGAGACACGGACCAGACUCCUACGGGAGGCAGCAGUGAGGAAUAUUGGUCAAUGGCCGCAGGGCUGAACCAGCCAAGUCGCGUGAGGGAUGACGGUCCUAUGGAUUGUAAACCUCUUUUGUCAGGGAGCAAAGGGCGCCACGUGUGGCGCUUUGCGAGUACCUGAAGAAAAAGCAUCGGCUAACUCCGUGCCAGCAGCCGCGGUAAUACGGAGGAUGCGAGCGUUAUCCGGAUUUAUUGGGUUUAAAGGGUGCGCAGGCGGAAUGUCAAGUCAGCGGUAAAAUUUCGGGGCUCAACCCCGUCGUGCCGUUGAAACUGGCGUUCUUGGGUGAGCGAGAAGUAUGCGGAAUGCGUGGUGUAGCGGUGAAAUGCAUAGAUAUCACGCAGAACUCCGAUUGCGAAGGCAGCAUACCGGCGCUCAACUGACGCUCAUGCACGAAAGCGUGGGUAUCGAACAGGAUUAGAUACCCUGGUAGUCCACGCAGUAAACGAUGAAUACUAACUGUCCGGGCAGAAUGAUGCCUGG
rnacentral:rRNA from 1 species